AAUAAGCGGAGGAAAAGAAACCAACAGGGAUUGCCUUAGUAGCGGCGAGUGAAGCGGCAAUAGCUCAAAUUUGAAAUCUGCCUUUGGCCGAGUUGUAAUUUGAAGAUACGAUUCUGAACAUGUCUUUGCUCAAGUUUUCUGGAAAGAAGCAUCAUGGAGGGUGACAAUCCCGUGAGGCAGAGAUAGCAUGUUUGUGUAGAACGUUAUCGACGAGUCGAGUUGUUUGGGAAUGCAGCUCUAAGUGGGUGGUAAAUUCCAUCUAAAGCUAAAUAUCUGCGAGAGACCGAUAGCGAACAAGUACUGUGAAGGAAAGAUGAAAAGAACUUUGAAAAGAGAGUGAAAAAGUACGUGAAAUUGUUGAAAUGGAAGGGCUUGAGAUUAGACAUGUUUUUGUGUGUUCCACUGGUUUUCGGACUUGUGUACUCAUGCUUUAACGGGCCAGCAUCAGUUUUGGCGGAAGGAUAAAUGACAUUGAAUGUGGCUCCUCGGAGUGUUAUAGCUUUGCCAAAUACUUUCAGCCGGGACUGAGGACCGCAUUUUUAGGAUGCUGGCGUAAUGGUCUUAAGCCACCCGUCUUGAAACA
rnacentral:rRNA from 1 species